rnacentral:rRNA from 1 species
UACGGGGGGGGCAAGCGUUGUUCGGAAUUACUGGGCGUAAAGGGCCCGUAGGCGGCCAACUAAGUCAUACGUGAAAUCCCUCGGCUUAACCGGGGAACUGCGUCUGAUACUGGAUGGCUUGAGUUCGGGAGAGGGAUGCGGAAUUCCAGGUGUAGCGGUGAAAUGCGUAGAUAUCGGGAGGAACACCAGUGGCGAAGGCGACUAUCUGGGGUGCAACUGACGCUGAGGCGCGAAGGCUAGGGUAGCAAACAGG